rnacentral:rRNA from 1 species
GAUGAACGCUGGCGGCGUGCUUAACACAUGCAAGUCGAACGAAGCACCUCUCCCGAAGAUUGACACAGCUUGCUGUAGAUUGAUUCAUUUGAGGUGACUGAGUGGCGGACGGGUGAGUAACGCGUGGGUAACCUGCCUCAUAGAGGGGGACAACAGUUGGCAACGACUGCUAAUACCGCAUAGUAAGAAGAAUUCGCAUGUUUUCUUCUUGAAAGAUUUAUCGCUAUGAGAUGGACCCGCGUCUGAUUAGCUAGUUGGUAAGGUAACGGCUUACCAAGGCGACGAUCAGUAGCCGGCUUGAGAGAGUGAACGGCCACAUUGGGACUGAGACACGGCCCAAACUCCUACGGGAGGCAGCAGUGGGGAAUAUUGCACAAUGGGGGAAACCCUGAUGCAGCGACGCCGCGUGAGUGAAGAAGUAUUUCGGUAUGUAAAGCUCUAUCAGCAGGGAAGAUAAUGACGGUACCUGACUAAGAAGCCCCGGCUAACUACGUG